rnacentral:rRNA from 1 species
UUAGAGUUUGAUCCUGGCUCAGGAUGAACGCUAGCGGCAGGCUUAAUACAUGCAAGUCGAACGGCAGCACGUGUAGCAAUACAUGGUGGCGAGUGGCGCACGGGUGCGUAACACGUAUGUAACCUACCUCUAACAGUGGCAUAACAAUGAGAAAUUAUUGCUAAUUCCGCAUGUGGUUAAUUUGAGGCAUCUUAGAUUAACUAAAGAUUUAUCGGUUAGAGCUGGGCAUGCGUCCCAUUAGCUAGUUGGUGAGGUAACGGCUCACCAAGGCAUCGAUGGGUAGGGGCUCUGAGAGGAUUGUCCCCCACACUGGUACUGAGACACGGACCAGACUCCUACGGGAGGCAGCAGUAGGGAAUAUUGGGCAAUGGACGCAAGUCUGACCCAGCCAUGCCGCGUGAAGGAAGACGGCCCUAUGGGUUGUAAACUUCUUUUCUCAGGGGGUAAACUCUGGAACGUGUUCCGGACUGAAAGUACCUGAGGAAUAAGCAUCGGCUAACUCCGUGCCAGCAGCCGCGGUAAUACGGAGGAUGCGAGCGUUAUCCGGAUUCAUUGGGUUUAAAGGGUGCGCAGGCGGAUAUAUAAGUCGGAGGUGAAAUUCUGAUGCUCAACAUCAGCCGUGCCUUCGAUACUGUAUAUCUAGAGUCAAGUUGGAGUAGGCGGAAUGUGUUGUGUAGCGGUGAAAUGCUUAGAUAUAACACAGAACACCGAUCGCGAAGGCAGCUUACUAAACUUUGACUGACGCUCAUGCACGAAAGCGUGGGGAUCAAACAGGAUUAGAUACCCUGGUAGUCCACGCUGUAAACGA